GAUGAACGCUGGCGGCGCGCCUAACACAUGCAAGUCGAACGGUUAAAGCACCUUUUAGGUGUGUAUAAAGUGGCGAACGGCUGAGUAACACGUGGGCAACCUGCCCUCCUCUUGGGGAUAGCCUCGGGAAACCGAGGAUAAUACCCGAUACUUCAAUGUGGCCGCAUGACGACAUUGAGAAAGCUUUUGCGGAGAAGGAUGGGCCCGCGGCCUGUUAGCUUGUUGGUGGGGUAGUGGCCUACCAAGGCAAUGAUGGGUAGCUGGGUUGAGAGACCGACCAGCCAGAUUGGGACUGAGACACGGCCCAGACUCCUACGGGAGGCAGCAGUGGGGAAUCUUGCACAAUGGGCGAAAGCCUGAUGCAGCGACGCCGCGUGCGGGACGAAGGCCUUCGGGUUGUAAACCGCUUUCAGCAGGGACGAGGCGAUAAGUGACGGUACCUGCAGAAGAAGCCCCGGCUAACUACGUG
rnacentral:rRNA from 1 species